rnacentral:rRNA from 1 species
AACGAACGCUGGCGGCAUGCCUAACACAUGCAAGUCGAACGAGACCUUCGGGUCGCGUGGCGCACGGGUGCGUAGCGCGUGGGAAGCUGCUCAUAUAUUGGGAAGAACUGCGCGAAGGGGGUGAUAUAACCGGAAAAUGUCUUAAGACCGCAGAUUUAUCGCCGUUGGAAGGGCCCGAGUUGGGUUAGCUAGUUGGUAGGGUAAAAGCCUACCAAGGCGGCGAGCUAUAGCUGGUCUGAGAGGCUGAUCAGCCACACCGGGACUGAGACGCGGCCGAGACUCUUACGGGAGGCAGCAGAGGGUGAUAUUGGACUAUGGGCGAAAGCCUGAUCCACCUAGGGCGCUUGAGUGCUUAAGGCCUUAGGGUUGUAAAGCGCUUUUACCCGGGUGGAUAAUGACAGUACCGGGAGAAUAAGCUCCGGCUAACUCCGUG